rnacentral:rRNA from 1 species
GUCCUUAGUUACCAGCACGUUAUGGUGGGCGACUCUAAGGAGGACUGCCGGUGGACAAACCGGAGGAAGGUGGGGAGUGACGUCAAGUCAUCAUGGCCCUUACGGCCUGGGCUACACACGUGCUACAAUGGUCGGUACAAAGGGUUGCCAAGCCGCGAGGUGGAGCUAAUCCCAUAAAACCGAAUCGUAGUCCGGAUCGCAGUCUGCAACUCGACUGCGUGAAGUCGGAAUCGCUAGUAAUCGUGAAUCAGAAUGUCACGGUGAAUACGUUCCCGGGCCUU